rnacentral:tRNA from 2 species
UGGGGUGUAGCCAAGUGGCAAGGCACGGGGUUUUGAUCCCCGCAUUCCCAGGUUCGAAUCCUGGCACCCCAGCCA